GACGAACGCUGUUGGCGUGCCUAACACAUGCAAGUCGAGCGAAGUGAGUACUACGGUACGAACUUAGCGGCGGACGGGUGAGUAACGCGUGGACAAUCUACCCUGUAGACUGGGAUAACACCUCGAAAGGGGUGCUAAUACCGGAUAAUGUCGAGAAGCGGCAUCGCUUUUCGAAGAAAGGAGAGAAUCCGCUAUAGGAGGAGUCCGCGUCCCAUUAGCUAGUUGGUGAGGGUAACGGCCCACCAAGGCGACGAUGGGGAGCCGGCCUGAGAGGGUGAACGGCCACACUGGAACGGAGACACGGUCCAGACUCCUACGGGAGGCAGCAGUGGGGAAUAUUGUGCAAUGGGGGAAACCCUGACACAGCAACGCCGCGUGAGCGAAGAAGGCCUUCGGGUUGUAAAGCUCAAUAGUAUGGGAAGAUAAUGACGGUACCAUACGAAAGCCCCGGCUAACUACGUGCCAGCCGCCGCAGUAAGAC
rnacentral:rRNA from 1 species